rnacentral:rRNA from 1 species
GGUGGAGCAUGUGGUUUAAUUCGAAGCAACGCGCAGAACCUUACCAGCGUUUGACAUGUCCGGACGAUUUCCAGAGAUGGAUCUCUUCCCUUCGGGGACUGGAACACAGGUGCUGCAUGGCUGUCGUCAGCUCGUGUCGUGAGAUGUUGGGUUAAGUCCCGCAACGAGCGCAACCCUCGCCUUUAGUUACCAUCAUUUAGUUGGGUACUCUAAAGGAACCGCCGGUGAUAAGCCGGAGGAAGGUGGGGAUGACGUCAAGUCCUCAUGGCCCUCACGCGCUGGGCUACACACGUACUACAAUGGCGACUACAGUGGGCUGCAAUCCCGCGAGGGUGAGCUAAUCUCCAAAAGUCGUCUCAGUUCGGAUUGUUCUCUGCAACUCGAGAGCAUGAAGGCGGAAUCGCUAGUAAUCGCGGAUCAGCAUGCCGCGGUGAAUACGUUCCCAGGCCUUGUACACACCGCCCGUCACACCAUGGGAGUUGGGUUCACCCGAAGGCGUUGCGCUAACCUCGCAAGAGGAGGCAGGCGACCACGGUGGGCUUAGCGACUGGGGUGAAGUCGUAACAAGGUAGCCGUAGGGGAACCUGCGGCUGGAUCACCUCCUU